UCCAUGUGGUCUAGUGGUUAGGAUUCCAGGCAUUCACCCAUGAGGCCUGGGUUCGAUUCUCGGCAUGAGAA